ACGCUCGACACCUACGGAGGCAGCAGUGGGGAAUAUUGCACAAUGGGGGAAACCCUGAUGCAGCGACGCCGCGUGGAGGAAGAAGGUCUUCGGAUUGUAAACUCCUGUUGUUGGGGAAAAAGAGGAUGGUACCCAACAAGGAAGUGACGGCUAACUACGUGCCGAGUAGCCGCGGUAAUCUGAGCGGGCUGGCAAGGC
rnacentral:rRNA from 1 species